rnacentral:RNase_P_RNA from 1 species
UGAGCUGGCUGGGCGGCCGCGCAUCAUCUAUAAGCCGGAUGGGAGAUUACGGUGGAGGAUGGUUCGAGGAAAGUCCGGACUUCACAGAGCAGGGUGAUUGCUAACGGCAAUCCGAGGUGACUCGCGGGAAAGUGCCACAGAAAUCAGACCGCC